rnacentral:rRNA from 1 species
AAUAGAUGAGCCUAAGUCAGAUUAGCUAGUUGGUGGGGUAAAGGCCUACCAAGGCGACGAUCUGUAGCGGGUCUGAGAGGAUGAUCCGCCACACUGGGACUGAGACACGGCCCAGACUCCUACGGGAGGCAGCAGUGGGGAAUAUUGGACAAUGGGCGAAAGCCUGAUCCAGCCAUGCCGCGUGUGUGAAGAAGGCCUUUUGGUUGUAAAGCACUUUAAGCGAGGAGGAGGCUACCGAGAUUAAUACCCUUGGAUAGUGGACGUUACUCGCAGAAUAAGCACCGGCUAACUCUGUGCCAGCAGCCGCGGUAAUACAGAGGGUGCGAGCGUUAAUCGGAUUUACUGGGCGUAAAGCGUGCGUAGGCGGCUUUUUAAGUCGGAUGUGAAAUCCCUGAGCUUAACUUAGGAAUUGCAUUCGAUACUGGGAAGCUAGAGUAUGGGAGAGGAUGGUAGAAUUCCAGGUGUAGCGGUGAAAUGCGUAGAGAUCUGGAGGAAUACCGAUGGCGAAGGCAGCCAUCUGGCCUAAUACUGACGCUGAGGUACGAAAGCAUGGGGAGCAAACAGGAUUAGAUACCCUGGUAGUCCAUGCCGUAAACGAUGUCUACUAGCCGUUGGGGCCUUUGAGGCUUUAGUGGCGCAGC